GACUCACUGGGCUUUUCUGCCUCAUCCUUCAGCUCAGCCUGAACAACAUGGACACAGAACAACAAAUACAAGAGGUUAAUGGAAGACCCAAUGUUAUUCAGUAUGCUUGGACGAAGGCUUCUGGGCAUCUACGGCAACCCCAGCCUGUCACAGCAGCUUGCAGGGGGCAUUCCUCACAAUUUUCCAACUAUGCUUGCUCAGGAUGAGGGAUUGCUGCAAGGUCAAUGACCCAAUGCUCAAUUUGCUUGUCUUGAAUAUAUAAUUAGGACUGAAUUGGACUGUAAACAACUGGAUCUGAAUCCAACUAUAUGAUGAUUCAUUAGGAAAGAACAGUAUAACUUCACUGAAUUUGAUUCUAUAUGACUGGGCAUUAAGAGAAACCUGUUUCCCUUGUAAAAUACCAAUUUACAUUGCUGUAAAUUUAUUAAUCUGUAGUCUCACAGCAUAAGGUCCUAGGUCAUAUUUAGCCAAAUAUGACUUCUGUUAUGAGGCUAGCCAAAUGAAAAAGACUACAUUGCUUUUAAAUGCAGUCAUGUUUAAACCUUGUGGAUUAUUAGUUCAAAUCUCACCUCCAGUGAUGAGGUCAAAGUGCCUGAAACUGGUUAAUGAAGGAUAACGAAGCAGACAGACAGCGAGCUAGCCCGCAGACACCGCGAGCACCCUGGAAAACACAUUACUUCCACCUGCAGCUCCUUCUAUAGGCAGGAGACGGCAACUAAAUGCAGAUGAGUGGAAAAAUAAGCUUCACCUGCCACAUGGGGUAGAGAGCACUUACGAAAGGAAAAUUAAUGUUUGCCAAGAUCUAUUUUACAUCUUAACAGAUUUAAACAGUGUAUCGAUUUCCCUGAUAAAACAUAGUGAAUGAUACAGACUGCAGAUGUAAUGACUUGAUUUCAACCUCUUCUUUAAAGAAAACAGAAAAGAAAAGUGUGUGGUGAAAGCUCCACCCCAACCCCCCACCAACAGUUUGUCCUGUACAGAUGUGACCAGAUAUGGGUUGUUCUACGGCCGGUGUUAAUAUUUUAAACUGACCAAUACAUAAGCCUAAUUAUUUUAUUUCAGUUUGGCAGAUAUAAUUGCCACUUUUUCUAUGGGCAUCAAACAUGUGUUCCACCAGGAUUUAUCCAUACCAGUUUCUAGCAUUAUACUUUGUCUUUCUGGAGAUGACUUGAUAAAAUGUUUCCAAAUUUU